GAUUUCUGGCUUGAAACAUUUUGCCGGCCACGGUUUCGUGUGUUAGUGCUUGAUGUUCUGGCCAUCCUUCCAAUCGCUAUAUACCUUUCUUCAUUGGUUGGUGUGUGGUAUUGGAUCUUUUACUUUGAAAAAAUUAGAGUGUUUCAAGCAGGCUUUAUGCUAUGAAUACAUUAGCAUGGAAUAAUAAUUUAGGACUUCGGUUCUAUUUUGUUGGUUUCUAGGACUGAAGUAAUGAUUGAUAGGGACAGUUGGGGGUGCUAGUAUUCAGCGGCCGGAGGUGAAAUUCUUGGAUUCGCUGAAGACUAACUUAUGCGAAAGCAUU
rnacentral:rRNA from 1 species